rnacentral:rRNA from 1 species
CUCUGUGACGUCCUACGGGAGGCAGCAGUGGGGAAUAUUGCACAAUGGGCGCAAGCCUGAUGCAGCAACGCCGCGUGAGCGAUGAAGGCCUUCGGGUCGUAAAGCUCUGUCCUCAAGGAAGAAUAAAUGACGGUACUUGAGGAGGAAGCCCCGGCUAACUACGUGCCAGCAGCCGCGGUAAUACGUAGGGGGCAAGCGUUAUCCGGAAUCACUGGGCGUAAAGGGUGCGUAGGCGGUUUUUCAAGUCAGAAGUGAAAGGCUAUGGCUCAACCAUAGUAAGCUUUUGAAACUGUUAAACUUGAGUGCAGGAGAGGAAAGUGGAAUUCCUAGUGUAGAGGUGAAAUUCGUAGAUAUUAGGAGGAACACCAGUGGCGAAGGCGACUUUCUGGACUGUAACUGACGCUGAGGCACGAAAGCGUGGGGAGCGAACAGGAUUAGAUACCCUGGUAG